AUGUUACUGUUGUGUGUUGUCCCCCUCUGUUGUCUUACUGUUGCAUUGUGUGUUGUCUCCUUCUGUUGUGUUACUGUUGUGUUGUGUGUUGUUCCCCUCUGUUGUGUUGUCACUCUGUUGUUUUACUGUUGUGUGUUGCCCCCCUCUGCUGUGUUGCUGUUGUGUUGUCCGCCUCUGUUGUGUUGUGUGUUGUCCCCCUCUGUUGUGUUGUCACUCUGCUGUGUCACUGUUGUUUUGUGUGUUGCCCCCCUGUUGUGUCACUGUUGUGUUGUGUGUUGUCCCCCUCUGUUGUGUCACUGUUGUGUUGUGUGUUGUCCCCCUCUGUUGUGUCACUGUUGUGUUGUGUGUUGUCCCCCUCUGUUGUGUCACUGUUGUGUUGUGUGUUGUCCCCCUCUGUUGUGUUGUGUUACUGUUGUGUGUUGUCCCCCUCUGUUGUGUCACUGUUGUGUUGUGUGUUGUCCCCCUCUGUUGUGUCACUGUUGUGUUGUGUGUUGUCCCCCUCUGUUGUGUUGUGUUACUGUUGUGUGUUGUCCCCCUCUGUUGUGUCACUGUUGUGUUGUGUGUUGUCCCCCUCUGUUGUGUUGUGUUACUGUUGUGUGUUGUCCCCCUCUGUUGUGUCACUGUUGUGUUGUGUGUUGUCCCCCUCUGUUGUGUUGUGUUACUGUUGUGUUGUCCCCCUCUGUUGUGUUGUGUUACUGUUGUGUGUUGUCCCCCUCUGUUGUGUCAGUGUUGUGUUGUCCCCCUCUGUUGUGUUGUGUUACUGUUGUGUGUUGUCCCCCUCUGUUGUGUCACUGUUGUGUUGUGUGUUGUCCCCCUCUGUUGUGUUGUGUUAAUGGUGUGUGUUGUCCCCCUCUGUUGUGUCACUGUUGUGUUGUGUGUUGUCCCCUCUGUUGUGUUGUGUUAAUGUUGUGUGUUGUCCCCCUCUGUUGUGUCACUGUUGUGUUGUGUGUUGUCCCCCUCUGUUGUGUUGUGUUACUGUUGUGUUGUCCCCCUCUGUUGUGUCACUGUUGUGUUGUGUGUUGUCCCUCUCUGUUGUGUUGUGUUACUGUUGUGUUGUCCCCCUCUGUUGUGUCACUGUUGUGUUGUGUUACUGUUGUGUGUUGUCCCCCUCUGUUGUGUCACUGUUGUGUUGUGUGUUGUCCCCCUCUGUUGUGUUGUGUUACUGUUGUGUUGUCCCCCUCUGUUGUGUCACUGUUGUGUUGUGUGUUGUCCCCCUCUGUUGUGUUGUGUUACUGUUGUGUUGUGUGUUGUCCCCCUCUGUUGUGUUGUGUUACUGUUGUGUUGUCCCCCUCUGUUGUGUCACUGUUGUGUUGUGUGUUGUCCCCCUCUGUUGUGUUGUGUUACUGUUGUGUGUUGUCCCCCUCUGUUGUGUUGUGUUACUGUUGUGUUGUCCCCCUCUGUUGUGUUGUGUUACUGUUGUGUUGUCCCCCUCUGUUGUGUUGUGUUACUGUUGUGUUGUGUGUUGUCCCCCUCUGUUGUGUUGUGUUACUGUUGUGUUGUCCCCCUCUGUUGUGUCACUGUUGUGUUGUGUGUUGUCCCCCUCUGUUGUGUUGUGUUACUGUUGUGUGUUGUCCCCCUCUGUUGUGUUGUGUUACUGUUGUGUGUUGUCCCCCUCUGUUGUGUUGUGUUACUGUUGUGUUGUCCCCCUCUGUUGUGUCACUGUUGUGUUGUGUGUUGUCCCCCUCUGUUGUGUUGUGUUACUGUUGUGUGUUGUCCCCCUCUGUUGUGUUGUGUUACUGUUGUGUGUUGUACCCCUCUGUUGUGUCACUGUUGUGUUGUGUGUUGUCCCCCUCUGUUGUGUUGUGUUACUGUUGUGUUGUCCCCCUCUGUUGUGUCACUGUUGUGUUGUGUGUUGUCCCCCUCUGUUGUGUUGUGUUACUGUUGUGUGUUGUCCCCCUCUGUUGUGUUGUGUUACUGUUGUGUGUUGUCCCCCUCUGUUUUGUUGUGUUACUGUUGUGUGUUGUACCCCUCUGUUGUGUCACUGUUGUGUUGUGUGUUGUCCCCCUCUGUUGUGUUGUGUUACUGUUGUGUGUUGUCCCCCUCUGUUGUGUUGUGUUACUGUUGUGUGUUGUCCCCCUCUGUUUUGUUGUGUUACUGUUGUGUUGUCCCCCUCUGUUGUGUCACUGUUGUGUUGUGUGUUGUCCCCCUCUGUUGUGUUGUGUUACUGUUGUGUUGUCCCCCUCUGUUGUGUCACUGUUGUGUUGUGUGUUGUCCCCCUCUGUUGUGUUGUGUUACUGUUGUGUGUUGUCCCCCUCUGUUGUGUUGUGUUACUGUUGUGUGUUGUCCCCCUCUGUUUUGUUGUGUUACUGUUGUGUGUUGUACCCCUCUGUUGUGUCACUGUUGUGUUGUGUGUUGUCCCCCUCUGUUGUGUUGUGUUACUGUUGUGUUGUCCCCCUCUGUUGUGUCACUGUUGUGUUGUGUGUUGUCCCCCUCUGUUGUGUUGUGUUACUGUUGUGUGUUGUCCCCCUCUGUUGUGUCGCGGGUGCUCCUCUGUGUUCUGGCUCGCGGAGAGAGGGCCCGGCUAUCCCAAACCGCUCGGCCCGCGCAUGCGCCGUGCCGCAGGGCUCCAGCACAUUGGAGGCUGAUGAAGUGUCGGAAGUUUAG
ensembl:lncRNA